GGAAAGCAAGGGCAGAAAGGCUGGAGGACACAGGGCUGGGUGGAGGCGAUCCUGAUUCACUCUACUGUUUCGACAAAGGAAAGUCGCCCGGAGGGCUUGCAUCUGAAUCCCACAAACGCGCCAUGCUUUAUAUCAAAUUAAUCAAAAAGAUUAACUCGUCUUUGUUGACCCCACACCUGGGAAAUUGUGGUGGGAGCUGGCUUAUUGGAGCAGCGCUGUCCAUUUACAGACGGUUCACAGGCAAGGUAUACUGUGUAGCGCUAGAGAAAGGCUUUGGAGGUUGAAACUACUUUGGAAGACAGUGGCUGACCUUCCUGCACACAUGAUGGAUGACUGGGGCACCUGCAGAGAGGAAUUGAAGUUGAUUGGGAACCUUUUCUCAGAGCAUUGGAGCGGAUUCUCAACUACCUAGGAGGCUCCAGACAGCAGGUUACACACUACUGGCGGGAGUUACUUUCCAGUUUAUGAUUUACCUCUGCUUCUCUCUGACCUUGCAAGAUUCUAAGGGUACAGUGGCCUAAAGAACUGGGUAUCUGAGGUCUUCCAGGUGGCUUUACUAAAACUAGAGACUUUCAUCUCUCAAACAGGGAUGAGAAGCCACCAAAGAUUCCUGGGACUGAAAGGCUCAGUUCACUUUCUUUCUUUGGAAAUAGUUCGGGGUGGUUGAGGAAGCAGGAGAGCAGGAAGAAAGAGACUAGGGAAUGGGUGCUGGUGGGUCUGUACUAGGUUUAUGGAGACUGCGGGGACUUACACAGAAUAGCUUUUGGCUUUAUAGCAAUAUUCUUUUUUUUCUUUCUUUUUUUUUUUUGGUAUCAGAAAUUAAACUCGGGACCUUGCACUUGCAAGGCAAGUGGCGGCACCAAUGAGCUAAAUCCCCAGCAAUAUUCUUAUUAGCAUGAACCCUCUAAAAGUCAGUUUUAAGGAGUACUACUCAGCCAUAAAAAAUGAAAAACUAGAGACAUUUAUAGCUAAAUGGAUGCACAUUGAGGCGAUA